ensembl:lncRNA
AUGGAGGGAGGGAGGGAUAGUUCUUUAAGCCUAAUGGAGGGAGGGGGGGAUAGGAGGUUCUUUAAGCCUGUAGAAUGGAGGGAGGGAUAGUUCUUUAAGCCUGUAGAAGGGAGGGAGGGAUAGUUCUUUAAGCCUGUAGAAUGGAGGGAGGGAGGGAUAGUUCUUUAAGCCUGUAGAAUGGAGGGAGGGAGGGAUAGAGAGAUGAACAAUAAAGGAGUGAAUGAAGCAGAGGGGUGCCUGGAGGAGUGUAAAAACAUCUUAUCCCUCUCUCCCUGGCCAUCUGGUUGUUUGUUUGUGCUGGUGCAGAAAGUGUGUGUGUGUGUG